rnacentral:rRNA from 1 species
AUGCGGAUCAAAGUCUUCGGUUGGCUGCUGAUGGUCGACCGUCUAAACACACGUGACAUGCUCAAGCGUCGACAUUUUGACAUAGGUGACGACCACAGCUGCCUGCUCUGCGGCAAUCAUGACGAAGAAACUGUGGAUCAUAUGAUAUUUACUUGCACAUUCAGUCAAGCUUGCUGGCGUAAACUUGGGAUCAGCUGGCCACCCUUCACCUGCCGCCUACAACUACUUCAACAGGCUAAACACUCCUGGGGACGUCCAUUAUUCUUUGAAACCUUCCUGGUGGCAGCCUGUAGUCUCUGGAAAGAAAGAAACAACAAACAUUUCAGGAGGAUUACGCCAACUGUCGGUGGGUGGCUGAAUAGAUUCAAGGAAGACUUUGGUCUCCUCCAACAUAGGACUAGGGGGAGUCAUCCUGCUUUUAUUUCUUCUUUUGUUUCUGAAUUGAACUAA